AUGAGAUGUUCUUUCACGUUUGCAGAUGAGGAAGCUGAGGCUCUGGGAGGAAAGCGCGCUGCCCAUGCCCUUCUGGGCCACAGCCUCUUGUACUCCCACAGCAGGCUGAUGGAUAAACUUCCAACACGACCAGCCGGCACCAACUGUGCAACUUGGCAAAUGGGAGCAUGUUGCUCUAUCCUGGUAGAUUCUAAGUUCUCUAAUGGAACAACUGAUGAAAGGAGAGGAGCGGGCGACCGGGGCGGGGACUGCAGAGCGGGCUGCGCUGCGCGGUCCCCACUGCCUGCCUCUGCGCUACCCGGCUGCAGCGCGCCAGUCACAUGGAGGAUCCUGAGGAGCCAGCGCCCGUGCGCGGAGGGCGGGAGGCCACCCUUGAGCUCCGUGGGUCGCGCUGCCUGCGGCUGUCCGCCUUCCGAGAGGAGCUGCGAGCGCUCUUGGUCCUGGCGGGCCCGGCGGUUAUCAAUGUCACUGGUGUCUCAGUGGGAUUCGGCUUAUCUUCUGCUUGUGACACCCUCAUCUCCCAGCCUUUGGCACCUAAUUCCUGAAUGUAAGAUGGAACAGACACCUGAAAGUCUUCCUCAGAAUAACAAUCCAGAUUCUGACAGAACAUCAGAAGUAUAUCUACAUGAGGAAUUACAGCAAGACAUGCAAAAGUUUAAGAAUGAGGUCAACACGUUAGAAGAAGAGUUCCUGGCUUUGAAGAAAGAAACUGUUCAACUUCAGAAAGAGGUUGAAGAAGAAAUGGAGAAGCACAGAAGUAAUAUAACAGAAUUAACAGGAACCCUAACUGAUGGUGCUACUGUUGGCAGUGAUGAUGAUGGACUAAAUCAGCAGAUUCCUAGGAAGGAGAAUGGAGAGCAUGACAGAAGCAAGUGGCCCACAUUGAUAUUGGUUGGUGAGAGAGGCCAAUGGUCACUGAUUGACUGUAUUUACAACUGGCUGUGAGUGGUUGCUUGUUACUACCAUGGCUACAGAUUCUGUUAGCCUACCAGUAAUCCAAGACACGUUUUGUUUAUGUGAAUGCUUACUGAAACUUAAGAAUAAUCGCUGUGACCGACUUAGAGUAAAACUUAAACACUUGG